rnacentral:rRNA from 1 species
GACGAACGCUGGCGGCGUGCUUAACACAUGCAAGUCGAACGGAAAGGCCCUGCUUUUGUGGGGUGCUCGAGUGGCGAACGGGUGAGUAACACGUGAGUAACCUGCCCUUGACUUUGGGAUAACUUCAGGAAACUGGGGCUAAUACCGGAUAGGCGCUCCUGCUGCAUGGUGGGGGUUGGUAAGUUUCGGCGGUUGGGGAUGGACUCGCGGCUUAUCAGCUUGUUGGUGGGGUAGUGGCUUACCAAGGCUUUGACGGGUAGCCGGCCUGAGAGGGUGACCGGCCACAUUGGGACUGAGAUACGGCCCAGACUACUACGGGAGGCAGCAGUGGGGAAUAUUGCACAAUGGGCGGAAGCCUGAUGCAGCAACGCCGCGUGCGGGAUGACGGCCUUCGGGUUGUAAACCGCUUUCGCCUGGGACGAAGCGUGAGUGACGGUAAUGGGUAAAGAAGCACCGGCUAACUACGUG